GCGUGAGUGAUGAAGGCCUUCGGGUUGUAAAGCUCUUUUGCCAGGGACGAUGAUGACGGUACCUGGAGAAUAAGCCCCGGCUAACUUCGUGCCAGCAGCCGCGGUAAUACGAAGGGGGCGAGCGUUGUUCGGAAUUACUGGGCGUAAAGGGCGCGUAGGCGGUUUAGCGAGUCAGGCGUGAAAUUCCCGGGCUUAACCUGGGGGCUGCGCUUGAUACUGCUAGGCUUGAAUUCGGGAGAGGAUGGCGGAAUUCCCAGUGUAGAGGUGAAAUUCGU
rnacentral:rRNA from 1 species